CUUGGGUUAGAGAGAGAAACUAGAGAGAGAAAGUGUAGAUUUGAGUUCCUCGUAAUAGGCAAAGAUCGCCUACUUAGAAGAAACACAAAAAGGAAGUCGGUGUAAGGUAGGGAAUUUUAUGCUAUUCUAUGGUGUAUCUGAUUUCUUUCCUUGAAUUAUUUGUUGGAAUUUUAUGUUAUUUCUAUGAUUUCAUAAAAUCUUUUAAAGUGUCAUUGCAUCUCGGUUAUUGCAUUGAAAUGUUACCAUGAUGUUGGAACGUAUAUUGGUAUGAAGAUUCGUGGUUUUGUGUUGUCGAAAUGGUUUAUGGUGUGAUUGCAUUUCAAGAAGGAUAUGGAAUUAUCACAGAUCAUAUUCAGAGAAUUUAUUGGUGGCGAAGUGCUUAUGUGAUGCUACAAGCCUUAUCAUUUGAUAUAUUGUUUAUGUGGGACCGUGGGUCCUUGGGUGAAAGUCCCUAAAGCCCUCGAGGAAGACACUCCGAUGUGGGUGUAUGGGGUUGGUCCUGCCCCUGGGUUUUAGUCCCUAAAGACACGGGGUUGGUCCUGCCCUUGGGUAUGAGUCCCAAAAGACACGGGGUAUGACUUGCCCUUGGGUGAUGUCCCAGAAUAGUCAUUAUUAUAUUGAUCGAGUAUCUUGUGGAGCAUUGAUAUCUGCUGUGUAGAUUGUUGGGAGUCAGCAUAUUAUCAGUUGUGAAAGGAUGGAUGGGGAAAAGCAAUGAUGAAACCAACAAACACGUGCAUACAUGUUUGACAUGAUUACACAUUUGUUAAUGGUUAUGAAAUGUUUAUCAUGCAUGUUAUUAAACGUUUAAUUCAAGGUUUUUAAGGGUAUACUUAGGAUGGUUAUAAACUUUCCUACUGAGUUGUGAACUCACCCUAUUCCUUCCACCUAUAGAUGCAGGUCAGAAGACCUAUGCAGGAAAGAAUGCUUGAGCAAUGCUUUACUGUGAUUGGAUGCUGUUUGCUCAUAUUGAAAGUCUUUUGAGGCCAUGCCUUUUGUAUCAAGACUACACCUUUUGUUGGAAUGAUGUAAUGUAUAUAUUUGUUAGAUACACUUGUAGUAUGGGCCACCCAUAGUAAACAAUGGGGUUGGGUAUAUGUAAAUUAAUGUUGUACAAGUUUCUUUUGUGAAACAAAACAUAUUUUGUUAACUUAAUAGUCACAAUGUUUAAUACAGAAUGUACUCUUUAUAACA